GAUCCUGGCUCAGGAUGAACGCUAGCGGCAGGCUUAACACAUGCAAGUCGAGGGGCAGCAUAAUGGAUAGCAAUAUCUAUGGUGGCGACCGGCGCACGGGUGCGUAACGCGUAUGCAACCUACCUUUAACAGGGGGAUAACACUGAGAAAUUGGUACUAAUACCCCAUAAUAUCAUAGAAGGCAUCUUUUAUUGGUUGAAAAUUACCGUAUGGUUAGAGAUGGGCGAUGCGUUGUA
rnacentral:rRNA from 1 species